rnacentral:rRNA from 1 species
UACGAAGGGGGCUAGCGUUGCUCGGAAUUACUGGGCGUAAAGCGCACGUAGGCGGCUUCUUAAGUCGGUGGUGAAAUCCUGGAGCUCAACUCCAGAACUGCCUUCGAUACUGGGAGCUCGAGUCCGGGAGAGGUGAGUGGGAACUGCGAGUGUAGAGGUGAAAUUCGUAGAUAUUCGCAAGAACACCAGUGGCGAAGGCGGCUCACUGGCCCGGUACUGACGCUGAGGUGCGGAAAGCGUGGGGAGCAAACAGGG